GGCAUUUGGGCGAGGAAUCGUAAAGCUAUGAUGAACGCGCCCGCCGCCUGGGCAAAACUGAGAGAUCAGCAAUAAGAACAGGGGAGACCUAAACCUAGCUCGUCUCUAUAUAUAAUAGAAGCUAUCCCCCCUCACUCGUACCAGUGGCCCUUGCUGAAACCCUACAUCUAUGGGGCUUCUUCUUCACUUCCGAAACCCUAAAAAGCUCCAACGACGUUAUCCGUAUCUGCGUCUCUCUGUGUGUGGAAGAAAGGUAAGUGCUGGUUAAGUGGUAUCUUGAUGUGUACAUACACAAUGUGUACGUACAAUGACGGAAAGCCUCCUGAGACCAGCUAAAUCAAAUUGAUCGAUCAUCAUACUGGGCGGAUUCUCUUAUUAAAGCUCCACGAAUUCCGCUUCUGUCUCGAUCAGUUCAGCUGGCGAUGUGGUGUGGAGGAAUACGGAGGCUUUGAUUCUUGUUAGCCUCAUUCUUAGGGUUUCUCUACACCUCCCAUAGCCAGCUCCAGUGCCAAUUUCUCAGUCUAUUUUACCUCUGUGAUCUGUAAGUAUCGUCCCUGUCCAUGCGAAGAAAUCUCUUUUUUUUUUAAUUGGUAAUGAAAUUCACUACUACCAGACAUUAGUCAGGUAUCAACCUUAGAUCCAGUGGUUUGAUACCGUUACACGUCUGGGAAAUCAAUGGUGUUCAUCGUUGCAGGUGUGUUUAUGCUCUUUACGCUCACACCUGCUCCAUUUGAGCCCCACAUCUUCUUCUUCCUCAAAUCCUCCAUGGUUGAAAAUGUUGGAAACUUGAAAUUGAUUCAAGUCAUUGAUACAUUAUUUCAGGCUUUAGAGCCUGAUAAUGAAUUAGUUUUUUGCCUUUUGCAUCCGACUCCACCUGGAUCAUUCAUUCAUGGACGGUCACGGUGGGAGUAAGUGCAUUUGCUGCUGUGUUUCCUUGAUUUAUCUACACACCAUCUGGUGGAAAGGAUUGAGUCAAUCAAAAUAAGAAAUAUUAAUGGAGACAACCUCAGCUUUUCAAA